AAGCGGAGGGAGAACACAGGAGAAUCAUGUGAAAUUCAUGAGCUGUUGCGCAACUGUAAAGAAUCAUACAUUCUAUAGCCAGACCGCCUGUCCGAUG
rnacentral:ncRNA from 2 species